rnacentral:lncRNA from 1 species
GCUGGAGUUAGGGACAAAUCCAUAUUGUGAGGGUCGGAUGAGACUGUGAGAGCUCCAGAAGUUCCAGAGUGUUUCUCUGACACACGAUUCCAUCAGUUUUGCAAUACAGCUAGUGAGACUGACUGGGCGAUAGUUGACAGGUGAUGUGCGGUCGCCCUUUUUGAACAGAGGAAUGACACUGGCAGUUUUCCACUGCUCCGGAGUAGCACCAUUGUUGAGACAGUACUGGAAGAAAAUAUGUAUAUAUGUAUAUAUCUCAGCAUGGCCACAGCAUUUAGGUUGAAGAGAAUAAAAGGAUAUUGUAUUCUACAAGAUUUCUCGAUAACGAAGUAACCACACGGCUAUGCCCACACACUAUAUAUAUAUAUAUAUAUAUAUAUAUAUAUAUAUAGACACAUAUGAAAUAAUAGAUCAGCAGAAUGAUAUUUGGGAUUUAUGAAUAAUUCAGCAGUGUAAUUAAUUAAAAUAUCAAGGUAAAGUAACGAAGCAAAUUAGGAUUUAAAGAUGACAGUUUAUGCUGAUUAAUAUUUAGGGAGAUGGGGGGGGAGCAGACAGACAGACAGAGGGGAAAUGCAGAGAUAUGGAAAGGUACACACAAACUUCAGUGUGCAUGUAUGUAUGUGUAUAUAUAUAUAUAUGUAUAUAUAAAGUGUCUCACAUACAUGAUUUACUAAUCACAGCUAAAUGUCGUUAAGGCAUAUCAACAGAGGGAAAAAUGAUAUAUAUAGUUAUUUUAAUUUAUAUCUUUAUUCCACCAUUUUUUUACUAUUUCAUCUCAGCCUCCAGCCCCGCUCCACCACUGUAUUCUAAAUUGUAUGUCCGUGAACUGUUCUAAAUGUUUGAGCCCCUGUGGCCAAUACAAAAGUCAUCAUUGUCAUUAUUAUUAUUAUUAUUAUCAUCAUUAUCAUUAUUAAAAACAUUAGAUCCGCAAAAGAAAUCCUUUCAGAAUUCCUUCAACCAUUGAUUUAUAAAGAUAUUUCCUGAGUUUGUUCAAGAGAAACAUUAACUACUCUGAUCUGAUAAGUCUCAAAAAGGGGCCUGUGAACAACAAUGGAGGGGGUCACAGCCCCUCUUUCCAUAGCAAACCAGUAAAGAAGAGAGACAAAAGUACAAAUCUACAAAGUUUUAACUCAAAACAUGAAUCAUUUCUUUGUGUAUGUGUGUGUGUAUGUGUAUGUAUGUAUUAUACACAUAUGCACAUGGUAGGCUUCCUUACAGUUUCUCCCUUCUAAAUUUCACUCACAAGGACAUUGGUCAAUUUCAAACUGUAGCAGAAGACACUUAACCAAAGCACCAUGCCGUGGAACUGAACUUGGAACCUUUUUGUGGUUCUGAAGCAAAGUUGAUACACACAUAGCUACACCUGUAUAUGCAUGUGCGUGCAUGUGUAUGUGUGUGUGUGUGUGUGUGUGCGUGCACACAUAUAGAUAUAAAGAUAGACAUAUAGAUAGAUAGAUGGAUAGAUAGAUAGAUAGACAGACAGAUAAAGAUAGAUAGAUAGGAUAAUUUAGACAGAUAGAUUACAUCUCACAUGUACAGUGAGAAGCACUUGAUCUGUAUAACAUGAUGCAAUGAAGUGUUCCUCGAAGAAGUUGUCAUGGUUCAGCAACCAAAUGUAUUGGUAACAUCCCCUGCAGGGGAAACAUACAUGGGGAACAAAUGAUAUAAACUGCAUCUUGUGUUUAUCAUAAUAUCUCUAAUAUAAAUAUUAAAAAAUUUUGGAAGAAAAUAAUUAUGUUUUUAAUAAAAACAUGAAACAGUUAAAAAAGGCACGUUAUAGACUGGGGGAUUUCAACUGGGAGAAGUCGAAUAAUAAUAUUAAUAAUAAUCCUUUCUAUUAUGUGCACAAGGCUUGAGAUUUGGGGUGAACAGGGUUAGUCGAUUACAUUGACCCUUGUGCUCGGCUGGUACUGGUUUCAUCGACCUUGAAAGGAUGAAAGGAAAAGUGAACCUGGGCAGAAUUUGAACACAGAACAAAAAGCUGGAAAAAAUGUCACGAAGCAUUUUGUCCGGCAUGCUAACAGGGGAUAAUAAUAAUAACAAUAAUAAUUUCUAACAUUAGCACAAGGCUUGAAAUUCGAGGGGAUGGUAACGAUCAAUAUCGACCCCCAAGUACUUAAGUGGUACUUUAAUCUCUGAAUGAUGAAAGACAAAGUUGACCUCCAAAGGAUUUGAAUCCAGAAAACAAAGAACAGGAACAAAAUAACACAAAGGCAUUUUCCCCAAUGCUCUGCUGGUUCUAUCAAUCCAGUUCCUCAUAAUAAUAAAGAUGAUGAUGAUGAUGAUGAUGAUUGCUUACACGGGCAUGAAAACUUAAGAAAAUUCAAGUGGGUGGGAAUGUAUUAAAUGAGAUCAGGUCACUGUGCCAUGAUGCACCACCAUGUCAUGCUGCACUACAGAAUAUACUACUGUGCCAAAGGUUUGCACAACGUGCCAUACAAAUGCACUCAAUGACACUGUGUGACACUGUGAAAUACUAUGUCACAGUGGACAGUGCAUCUCACAGUUGUACACAAUGUAUUAAUGGGCCAUGGUAUCACACAGCUCCAAUGUGCCUCACCAGCAAUCCAAUUUUUUUCACCUAAAGUGGAGUAAAACCCUCAUCCCUUUUCUAUUGGUAUAUAACUGCUACUUUAUUAUUAUUAUUAUUAUUAUUAUAAAAUCGUGUGGAGGAGUGUGGAGUGCCAACACCAAUACUACAAUGAAGUCUCUACAUGCUGUCACACCAAACCAAGUAGAAAUAUAAGAAACCAAAAACAACAUCUCCAGAAAAGCUACAAUCAAAACCAAACUUUGACAAAUCAAGUUUCCGCAUGUGUGUGUGUGUGUGUAUAUAUAUACAUACACACAAGUGCAUGCAUACAUUUCUCAAUAUGUACAUGCAUGUUUCUGUCUGUCAACAUAUGAAUGAGCAAAUAUAGCUUUUUAUGUUUUUACCGAAAAUAUCAUCCAUCAGAAAAGUCUCAGGUCAGUGUAUCAAACGGGAGCAUUGACUAAAACUAACGUGGCAGGUGAGGGUUCAAACCACGGUUGGAGUAGCGAUUGAUUAUAGCCAGCAUUUUUACUGAGUAACUGCUUUUUGGGUUAAUAGGCUGAUAGUGUUGUUUUAGGCUGAUAGUGUUGUUUUAGGCUGAUAGUGUUGUUUUAGGCUGAUAGCUUUGACGUAAGAGGAGAGCAUUGAUGUAAGCCAAUAGCACUGAUGUAGUAGGCCAAUAGUGUACAUUUAGACUGAUAGUGUAGAUUUAGGCUGAUAGUACAGCAGUAAGUUGAUAGUGUUGAUGUAAACUGAUGGUGGUAUUGCAUGAGUGGUAGUAGGUGUUUACAGACACAUACACAAUAUACACAUGUGAGCAUAUGUAUGUACGUGUAUGUGUGUAUAUGCACACACUUAUAUAUUCGUGUACAUAUACACACACACAUACCAAUACCUAUGUGUAUAUACGCACAUACAUACAUAUCCACAUGUGUAUAUAUAUGUGUGUGUGCAAAUGCAUAUAGGUAUAGGUAUGUGUAUAUAUAUAUGUAUGUUUAUGAAUAUAUAUACAUCGACACACAAAUGGAUAAUUGCUGAAUAUUCAGGGAGUGUGUGAAGUCAGUCAGCAGUGAAAGCUAAUUACUGUACAACAGUGACGAGUGGAACCCAGACGAGGAUGUGUAGAAGGAAAGAAGGAAGAAAGCAAUGAAAAGGUUAACAUGGGAAGGAAGGAAGGUUAUUGACUAACAGACAGACAAAGAUGCAACUGUAUACAAACAAUUGCAUACCUUCCUCAAUUGCCCAGCGUGAACACACGGUGACACAGUUCACUGCACACAUGCUGUUCACAUUCGAUCCCAGCAUGUGUAGAGCAAAUGGGCCACAUGGUAUUCACAUGUAGAGUCGGGGUUUGUAGCAGUUAGGGCUGAAGGGUCAACGGCACAACUACAAAACAGAAUCACCGACAGGAGGAGGGACAACAUCGAUGUUAUUCCAAGUCGUACCAUUCUAUUCUACCAAAGCUGGUUGUUCUUCGGACAAAUGGACAAAUCACAACAUUGAAACCCUGGCCAAACUGACCGAUCACAACACAGAAACAACAUCCAUACUUGACUAAAUUGGCCAAUCAAGGCAACUAGACUGACCACCCAGUAACAUAUAGAAAUUAGUGACAGCCUCAGUUAAAUGAGGCUGAUCAAACACAUUGAACAAAUAGUUAUAACUAUCUGAAGUGGUUAGUCAAGUCAAGGGCAGCUAACUCCAACCAACAGGAGUUAACAGUUUGGACAGACACAUCACUGCAACAACAAUAACAACAACAUGGUAGUCAUGGCGACAUGGUAUACAGCAAUACAUAAAACCAAGAAACACCUGCUAGCUGCAGUGGCAGGUGUUCCUUGGGUGGGGUGCAUUUACUUCCUUCCGGAACCUAUUACAAGUCUCGUCUGCUAUCACAUGUGAUUGUGGACGUUAUCAUAUGUGGUGGCCACUGACACUUCUGAAACAGUGACGAGAUGAGUUCAAAUUCAUCAAGAGUCAUCACAGCUCACUGACCUUCAACAAUAUACAUGAAUGCAUGUGUUUAUACAGACAUAUACGUAUAUGUAUAUAAAUAAUCUGUGUGUGUGUGUGUGUGUGUGUGUGUGUGUGUGUGCAUGCGCGAGAAGCAAUUUUAGAAUUGAUGGUUCACCUCUGAGUAUUUCUUGUGUCAAGAAAGUAAUUAAAAUCAAAUUAUAGAUCCAAAUACAAACCUGUAUGCGUACAUGCGUAUGAGUGCGUGUGUAUAGAUGUGUGUAUGUAUGUGUGUGUAUAAGUGCUGUAGCAUGAAUUAAAAACUUGAGUCUAUGCCCAGCUGUCCAACACCACACCCUUCGGCCACUGGGGAAAAUUAAAAGCAGUAAAUUCAGUGUAAGAAGGAAAAGGAAAAUGGGAGUGAGUUUGUUAAACAUUGAUGACAAAGAUGGGUGGAUGUUUAGACUGAAGGUAAACAUCUACCCAGAUCUCAACUCUAUCUUGACAAGGGGAACUCUGGCACAAGCAAAUUAGAUGAUAUACAUACUCUCACAUAUGCAUAUAAAUAUAUAUACAUAUAUAUAUUUACAUAGAUAUAUGUACAUAUAUAUACAUACACAAACACUCACACACACACAUGUACCUAUAUAUAUGUAUGUGUAUAUAUAUAUAUAUAUAUAUAUAUAUAUACACACACACACACACAUGUACAUACUGCACAUAACUAUGCAUAUACACAUGCAUAUACAUAUAUUGAAUAACUGGCACUUGGUCAGAUAUGACGGUGAGUGUUGCAGUUAAUCUGAGGAGUGCAACAACCUGCUCGUGAAAUUAACGUGCAAGCGGUUGAGCACUCUGCAGACAUGCAUACCCUGAAUGUACUUCUUGGGGAGGUUCAGCAAUGACAGAGUGCGACAAGGCUGGCCCCUCUUAAAGGACAUGUUUGCCAGCUGAGAGGACUGGAGCGAGGUGAAACAAAGUGUCUUGCUCAAGGAGACAACGUGCAGCUGGGAAUCGAAUUCACGACCUCACCAUCAUGAACCGAAAACCCUCACUACUGAGCUGCACGCCUUCACACACACAUACAUACAUAUA